UCUGUUUGUGUCUCUGUAUCCUCAGAGUCCAGAGGUCAGGUCACAGUGACUCAGCCUGGAGCAGUGAGCUCUGCUCUGGGAGGCUCCGUCACCAUCAGCUGUAGGACCAGUCAUGAUGUUGAUGGUUACUGUGGAUCAUCAUCACCCUAUUACCCCUGUUUAUUCUGGUACCAAAAAAAAGACGGACAAUCUCCCAGGCUGCUCAUUUAUGGCAUUCAUCGACGAGCAUCAGGAAUUCCAGGACGUUUCACAGGCAGCGGAUCAAACUCUGACUUCACUCUGACCAUCAGUGGAGUUCAGGCUGAAGAUGCUGCAGUUUAUUACUGUCAGUGUAUCAAAACUCUCAACAGUAAGCAGAUGUUCACACAGUGAGAAACCGUCGUACAAAAACCUCACUCAAGCAGACUCAACAGAAACUGAACUGACUGCAGAGACUCACACAGUUCACUGAACACACACACACAAUUCACUGUGAAGCACAGAAACACAGAUGUUUUAUGAUUUUUAUUGUCCCCUCUAGUUUUAAUGUUAAACAUCCAACACUCAACAAAUCAACAAGUCAGAAAUUAGUUUCUGUUCUAAUCAGAA